GACAGAGGGUGCUAGCGUUGUUCGGAAUUACUGGGCGUAAAGGGCGCGUAGGCGGCUCGUUUAGUCGGGUGUGAAAUCCCGGGGCUCAACCCCGGAACUGCAUUCGAUACUGGCGGGCUAGAGACCGGAAGAGGUGGGUGGAAUACCCAGUGUAGAGGUGAAAUUCGUAGAUAUUGGGAGGAACACCAGUGGCGAAGGCGGCUCACUGGACCGGUACUGACGCUGAUGCGCGAAAGCGUGGGGAGCAAACGGG
rnacentral:rRNA from 1 species